UAUGGUUUCUCCUUUAACACACAGGGUUUAUUUUGCAAUUCUGGGCAACUGACUACUAUUUGUUCAUCACUGAUACAUGCAGUCCUGUACCAGAGUUACUAUGUUGUCCACUGGAGCCAGAAAGUGAUGAAAUAGAAGGAUAUUUGUUCCUUCAGUGCAAGGUAAGAUUAAGAAAGAACAACUGGAGGAUACCGUUUCUGUGAGGACGUCUGAGAAGAACGAUUUGGGGAAGAAGCUGUUAACUGCAGCUUUGAUGAAUGCCAAGGAGCAACAAAGAAAGCUGUUCACCACUGUCUAGCUAAUUGGCAGGUUUUUAAAAUUUAUCACCAGCCAAACAGCUCAAAGCUAAGAGUGUCCUGAAAAAUGAAUACAGAAAUUAUCUGAGAAUGUUUACCAUCAACAUGCAGAAUAAAAUAAAGAGGAGGAAAAUUACUGUUUUCUGAAACAGGCAAGACGAAUGGGUUUGGUUUUUAGAAAUGCAAGCCAUGCUCACAUCUUUUUUUGACAGAUUGUCAGCGGGUAAUAAAAUAUAUUCAAUAGCAAUGUUCAAUACAUUUUAAUAAUAUGGUCCUCAACACAUUAAUAUGCAAUCAGCUGGUCAAUAUAAGAAAAGCAGCCAUUGCUUAUGGUGGGUGUUCACACAUUGUUGAUGGAGGGUGGAAGUGUGGCUGGUUGGAUGAUGGAAGUGCCAGCAUGAGUAAUGAAUUCACAGUGUUGUCAGUGGAAAUAUGGGUG
ensembl:lncRNA